GAGGAAUCCAAACACACUUCGGGUUUCACAUCUUUGCACUGAGUAACCUUGAAAAAUGAACCAAGGCAGGGAGGUUGGUGUGGAAGCUCUUGCUAUAGUCAAGCUGAGAAAUGAAGUUGACUGGAUUAGAGGUGUCAAUAAAGAGGCAUUGAGCAAGAUUAGGUGAUGGAUGUGGAUGGACCUAGAGACUGUCAU